UACGUAGGGUGCAAGCGUUAUCCGGAAUUAUUGGGCGUAAAGAGCUCGUAGGCGGUGUGUCGCGUCGGUCGUGAAAACUUUCAGCUUAACUGGGAGCUUGCGGUCGAUACGGGCAUCACUGGAGUUCGGCAGGGGAGACUGGAAUUCCUGGUGUAGCGGUGAAAUGCGCAGAUAUCAGGAGGAACACCGGUGGCGAAGGCGGGUCUCUGGGCCGAUACUGACGCUGAGGAGCGAAAGCGUGGGGAGCGAACAGG
rnacentral:rRNA from 1 species